rnacentral:rRNA from 1 species
UACGAAGGGGGCUAGCGUUGUUCGGAUUUACUGGGCGUAAAGGGCGCGUAGGCGGUCUUUUAAGUCAGGCGUGAAAGCCCUGGGCUCAACCUGGGAGUGGCGCUUGAUACUGAGGGACUAGAGAGUGGGAGAGGUUGGUGGAAUUCCCAGUGUAGAGGUGAAAUUCGUAGAUAUUGGGAAGAACACCGGUGGCGAAGGCGGCCAACUGGACCAUUUCUGACGCUGAGGCGCGAAAGCGUGGGGAGCAAACAGG